AGCUUGCUCCUUGGGUGACGAGUGGCGGACGGGUGAGUAAUGUCUGGGAAACUGCCCGAUGGAGGGGGAUAACUACUGGAAACGGUAGCUAAUACCGCAUAACGUCGCAAGACCAAAGAGGGGGACCUUCGGGCCUCUUGCCAUCGGAUGUGCCCAGAUGGGAUUAGCUAGUAGGUGGGGUAACGGCUCACCUAGGCGACGAUCCCUAGCUGGUCUGAGAGGAUGACCAGCCACACUGGAACUGAGACACGGUCCAGACUCCUACGGGAGGCAGCAGUGGGGAAUAUUGCACAAUGGGCGCAAGCCUGAUGCAGCCAUGCCGCGUGUAUGAAGAAGGCCUUCGGGUUGUAAAG
rnacentral:rRNA from 1 species